ACACGUAGGUAACCUGCCCAUGUGCCCGGGAUAACUUCUGGAAACGGAUGCUAAAACCGGAUAGGUAGCAGACAAGCAUUUGACUGCUAUUAAAGUGGCUAAGGCCAUGAACAUGGAUGGACCUGCGGUGCAUUAGCUAGUUGGUGAGGUAACGGCCCACCAAGGCGACGAUGCAUAGCCGGCCUGAGAGGGCGGACGGCCACAUUGGGACUGAGACACGGCCCAAACUCCUACGGGAGGCAGCAUGG
rnacentral:rRNA from 1 species